UACGUAGGGGGCAAGCGUUGUCCGGAAUCAUUGGGCGUAAAGCGCGUGUAGGCGGCCCGGUAAGUCCGCUGUGAAAGUCGGGGGGCUCAACCCUCGGAUGCCGGUGGAUACUGUCGGGCUAGAGUGCGGGAGAGGCGAGUGGAAUUCCUGGUGUAGCGGUGAAAUGCGCAGAUAUCAGGAGGAACACCAAUUGCGAAGGCAGCUCGCUGGAACGUAACUGACGCUGGAGAACGCGAAAAGCGUGGGGGAGCAAACAGG
rnacentral:rRNA from 1 species